AGUGAGUGCAUGGGUGCUCAUAGUGAGGCCUUUAAGACCUCAUGGGGCUAAAAGAUAGCAAGAAUGGUUGGAGAACUUUAGUCCUCCCCUCACUCUGGCCUAAGGCAACCCUGCCCUCUGUUGCCCUUAUUCCCUGGGUUUGGGAUUUCAAUGAUCUUAAGCAGAAGGGAGGUCUAAUCAAUGAUGAGAUACACCUUGUCUGUGAAGUAAAGCAAACAAGGCCACAGUCUGCCCAUGGCUGCCCGGAUAGCAGUCUCCUCGCCCUUUCCUCGGGCUGCAGUGGGCAAUGUGUGUGAUGCUUCCUUUCUGCUCUGUAUUCACCGCAGUGUUUUGCAGACUCCUCACAUUCCCGGGACUGAGAAGCUGAGCCUUGAACCGCAGUUGGCCUUGUUAUGUAGGAGCCUGAGGCAGGGCAUCCAGGCUGUGGUUGAGGCAAGCCCUCCAUACUCUUGGAGAGGGAGGCCGGCCCAGGAAAGGAGCUCACAGCCAUGGGGUGGGGUUCUAGAAGCAGCACUGAAGAGUCUCAGGUGCUCACCCAUGACUUAUAUCAACCUCUGGGUGUGCAAGGCUCCAUGCCUGCAUGAUUGGUGCAAAUGGACUUUUACACCAUCCAACCAGAGGACGGACUUAUCUCGAGAGCCCCUCUUAAAACAUAGUAAUUUCCUAAGUUUGUGUUUUUUCUCCAUAAAGAAAUGUUGGAAACAAUGUAAAUUCAUGACAAAUGUUUAAAAUUACAAAAUGAACAUUAAACAGAAAAGAAUACUGCGAGGAUUAUGUUUACCAUAAAGGAGGUCUCAGUCCUAGGCCAGGGUUGCCUGGAAUGCACUUUGUAGUUCAGACUGGCAUGAUUUCUUUAGCAAUUCUCCUGCCUCCCUCUGCAAAGAGAUAAAGUUAAUGUUUAGAUACACCAUACCAGGCAAAUGCUACUAUUGUGUUUGUUUCUGAAACAAGAACUCUUGUGGUCCACACUGAACUCGAACUUAUGUCGGCCUAGGCUGGCUUUGAAUUGCAGAGCACAAUGCCUUUACCUCUCAGGAGCUGAAAAGAGUGACACGAACCAACAGCCCGUGUUUUUAAGAAGUUGACUUUAGGACAUUUAGAAGCAGGCUGACUAUGUUCACCAGGGUCCUUUCCAGAUGUCUAGCCUGUGCAAGCAUGUCACUACUCUGAACUGGGACAACGGCACACAGACACCAGUGGAAGCCUCUGGGAAGUCUGAAAAGGGAGGUGGAUCUUCCUUCCAGGUGACGGCUUAGCCUCCACCAUCACUGUCUGAUGAAGACGAGGAGACUUGAAGAAAUUCAUGGAGGAACUCAAUGGAGUGUUUGGGGACAAAAGAUGAGGUAUGGCUUCCCCGUGAGCUCUGCUGUCACCUUCUCUCUUGCCAGCCCCUUCCAUACGUACCCUGGCCCUUGGCCAUCGCUCACCUCUGUCCGGUGACUUGUUUUCGUUUCUCUCUCAGCCUGGUUUAUGGUUCCUGGUGUUGGGAAACCCAAGGGCCUGCGAGGAUCCUGGUUUUCUUUCUCCUUGCUGGUUUUCAGAGGCUGUGGCACGAGGAGGCCAUAGCCGCACUUGGUGGGGCACCUGCUGUUCCUCGAGGUGUGACCAAAGGUCCCACAGUCUCUGCAUUUCAGCUGGGAAUGGCAAAGGACUGGUUAGAGAACCACAAAGGGAUGCGGGCACCACUCCAUGCUCAGUCCCAGGCAAGGUCCCAAUGCCCUUCAAUCUUCUCUCUCCAGAGAGGGCACAAACCAUAGAUUGAGUUUAAACAACAGACAGUUGAAUUUUGAACCCGUAAGUGACAAGUGUAUUUGAUCAAAGAGACAAGUGUAACAGGGCCGUGGACCAUUCUAGACAAAAAGAUAUCAGCAAAACUGAAUGCAGAUUGGAAGUACCAGACAGGCCAUAGAACUAAGGCCCUUAAUGCUCUCGGGUGUCCAAAUGAAAAAAGACCUAAUCCUUCCAAGUUCAUAGUUCUGGGACAGCCUCUUGGUAUACACCCCUGGACACACAAGUAUAGGCCUCCACUUACCCUAGAGUUCUCAUCUUAUGGUGGUGGAACGUUCUUAGACAUGGGCCGUCUUCACUUCUUAGCUUCCCGCUGGGCUCUCUGGGCUGCAGUGGUCCUGAAGCUCCCAAAUGCAUGUGUGCCUCCUGACUCAUGGCUAAGUGUGAGUCAGUCAUGUGAUAAUACUGCCAGCUGAGAGCUAGCUGUCUCCUCCAGGUCUACGCAGCGGGUUCUGCCAGCAGUGCAACCUGGACCCUCACACCAGACAGGAGGCUGCUUUCAGGAGACUGGCUGAGAACUCUCCUGCCAGGCUGCUCACAAGAUCUGUGACGUCAUCUAUGUAGGAAAGGCCAGCCUUGAGGAGUGAGACUCACCCGCCCUUUGAUCUCUACCUUGAUUGAAAAUCACCUGCUCUAAACUGGCCUGGAAGCCUCCGUGAUUUUCUUAGUGCUCGUGUGAAGCUCCAGAACCAUGGACAGAGUUUCAAAGAGCAAAUUCCACUGCAGACCCAGCAAGAGUUUUCUGCCAGUGCUUAAGAUCAUCUGCCGGGAAGCAUGCAAACACAUUGAAACGUGAUGUGAUGUUGAGGUCCAACACAAUAAAUGCCUUUGGGUGGCUGUGUCUUCGACA